rnacentral:rRNA from 1 species
UACGUAGGUGGCGAGCGUUGUCCGGAAUUACUGGGCGUAAAGGGUGCGUAGGCGGUUAAUUAAGUCAGAUGUGAAAUUCCGGGGCUCAACUUCGGAAUUGCAUUUGAAACUGGUUAUCUAGAGUGCAGGAGAGGAAAGCGGAAUUCCUAGUGUAGCGGUGAAAUGCGUAGAUAUUAGGAAGAACACCAGUGGCGAAGGCGGCUUUCUGGACUGUAACUGACGCUGAGGCACGAAAGCGUGGGGAGCAAAC